GAUAAACGCUGGCGGCGCACAUAAGACAUGCAAGUUGAACGGACUUAAUCGAAAUAUUUAUAUUUUGAAGCGGUUAGUGGCGGACUGGUGAGUAACGCGUAAGGAACCUGCCUAUUAGAGGGGAAUAACAGUGAGAAAUCAUUGCUAAUACCGCAUAUGCCAUAGAUAUCACAUGAUAACAGUGGGAAAGGAGCAAUCCGCUAAUAGAUGGCCUUGCGUCUGAUUAGAUAGUUGGUGGGGUAACGGCCUACCAGGUCGACGAUCAGUAGCCGGACUGAGAGGUUGAACGGCCACAUUGGGACUGAGAUACGGCCCAGACUCCUACGGGAGGCAGCAGUCGGGAAUAUUGCGCAAUGGAGGAAACUCUGACGCAGUGACGCCGCGUAGAGGAAGAAGGUUUUCGGAUUGUAAACUAUUGUCGUUAGGGAAGAGAAAGGACAGUACCUAAGGAGGAAGCUCCGGCUAACUACGUG
rnacentral:rRNA from 1 species